rnacentral:lncRNA from 1 species
UUUCUUUUAAUUUACUGAUAGCAAAAUCAAUAUUUAUGCCAAUAAAACAAUAUUCAAUGAUCUUAUUACAGUGUUGAAUUGGUAACCCUUUAGAAUAAGUUUAUUUAAAGGAGCGAUAAGUUUACAUAGAUCAUUUCGAAAUUUCCGGGCACGGUUAACAACAUUUCCGUAAAAAUGAGGAUGUGCUAUCCCGUUUGAAAUAAGUUUUCUACAAGUACAACCAAACUUCAAAACAAAAUCUUUAUAUCUAUGGAAAAAAUUUAGUAAAGGUUUUAAGUAAUUUAUG